GACGAACGCUGGCGGCGUGCCUAACACAUGCAAGUCGAACGGAGAAUUAGCAAUAAUUCUUAGUGGCGAACGGGUGAGUAACGCGUAGACAACCUACCCUUUAGAUGGGGACAACACCGCGAAAGUGGUGCUAAUACCGAAUAUUGCUUGAGAAGCGCAUGCUUUUCAAACUAAAGAUGGCCUCUAUUUAUAAGCUAUCGCUAAAGAAUGGGUCUGCGUCUGAUUAGCUAGUUGGUGAGAUAAAAGCGCACCAAGGCAACGAUCAGUAGCCGGUAUGAGAGGAUGAACGGCCACACUGGGACUAAGACACGGCCCAGACUCCUACGGGAGGCAGCAGUGGGGAAUCUUCCGCAAUGGACGAAAGUCUGACGGAGCAACGCCGCGUGAGUGAUGAAGGUUUUCGGAUCGUAAAACUCUGUUGUUAAGGACGAAUGUAUAGAUUGUGAAUAAUGGUUUAUAAUGACGGUACUUAACGAGGAAGCCACGGCUAACUACGUGCCAGCCGCCGCCGUAA
rnacentral:rRNA from 1 species